UCCAGCUGAUCCUGCUGGAGGAUACUGCUAUGGGAAUCCGACUAAGACAUGCAAGUCUAAGAGUUCCGGCUAUGAGGGACUCUGGCGGACGGCUCAGUAACGCGUGGGUAAUCUACCCUCGGGCGGAGUAAAUCCCGGGAAACUGGGGAUAAUGCUCCAUAGGCAACCAAUACUGGAAGGUUUUGUUGCCUAAACGCAAGCACUUCAUGCUGUGCAAGCGCCUGAGGACGAGCCUGCGUCAGAAUAGGUUGUUGGCGGGGUAACUGCCCACCAAGCCAAAGAUCUGUACGGGCCUUGGAAGAGGUAGCCCGGAGAAGGGAACUGAGAUAAGGUCCCUAGCCCUACGGGGUGCAGCAGUCGCGAAACCUCUACAAUGCGCGAAAGCGCGAUAGGGGGAUUCCCAGUGCCAGCACUGCUGGCUUUUGCCAAGUCUAGACCGCUUGGCGAAUAAGUGGGGGGCAAGAUACGUGCCAGCCGCCGCGGUAACACGUACUCCACUAGUGGUGUCCACUAAUAUUGGGCUUAAAACGCCCGUAGCCAGCUCUGAAAGUCCUCUGUGAAAUCGGCUAGCUUAACUAGCCGGCGUGCAAGGGAAACUUCAGGGCUCGAGGUCAGGAGAGGUUAGGGGAAUUCCAGGAGUAACGGUGAAAUGUUAAGAUCCCUGGAGGACCACCGGUAGCGAAGGCGCCUAACCAGAACGAACCUGACGGUGAGGGACGAAAGCCAGGGGAGCGACCCGGAUUAGAUACCCGGUUAGUCCUGGCCGUAAACGAUGUGGACUAAGUGUUCCGAUAUCGCAAGAUACCGGAGUGCUGAAGGGAAACCGUUAAGUCCACUGCCUGGGAAGUAUGGUCGCAAGGCCGAAACUUAAUGGAAUUGGCGGGGGCGCACUACAAGGGGUGGAUGCUGCGGUUUAAUUGGAUUCAACCCCAGACAACUCACCAGGGUCGACAGCAGAAUGACGGUCAACCUGAAGGGCUUACCUGACGCGCUGAGAGGUGUUGUAUGGUCAUCGUCAGCUCGUACUAUGAAGCGUCCUGUUAACUCAGGCAACGAGCGAGACCCAUAUCAUUAGUUGCAACUUCCCAUUUUUGGGGGGGCACUCUAAUGAGACUGCUCUGGAAACAGAGAGGAAGGAAUGGGCGACGGUAGAUCUGUAUGGCCCGAAUACCCUUGGGCUACACGCGGCAUACAAUGGCUAGGACAAUGAGCUACGAACCCGAAAGGGCAAGUUAAUCCCCUAAACCUAGUCUCGGUUCGGAUCGAGGAUUGGAACUCAUCCUCGCGAAUGAUUGGAAUCCCCAGUAAUCGCGUAUCACUAUUGCGCGGUGAAUACGUCCCUGCGCCUUGCACACACUGCCCAUCAAGCCAGCUGAGUAGAGUUUUGAUGAGGCUUUUUCAUGAGAAAGAGUCGAUUCUGAGUUCUGCAAGGCGGGCUAAGUUGUAACAAGGUG
rnacentral:rRNA from 1 species